rnacentral:piRNA from 1 species
UUUACGUAUGGGCUAUGGAGACC